UAAGAAACCACGGCGGACAUCAUCCAAAUAGGGGUUAACACGUGCAAAGAGAACCAUCACUCUUGACAUCAUCCUUAAGAACGUGCCAAAGCACAUCGAUCGUCGGAUCGAAUUGAUCGUCGUACAACUGCGAUCAACGGAACCAUCUAUCACAGCCCGAAUCCAGCAGUAACAGCACUUCGUUCGCUCACGGCUUCACCAAACUACCUUUCCCGUACUAUAGAUAAAAAUUAUUUGUGGGGAAGAAGCUUCUGCUUCAGCAACUGAACCGCCAUGUCCUCCUCCGAUCCCGAUAAGUUGAUCGUCAAGGCCGAUAAGCUAACAAAACUGAGUCUCACAAGGUGGAGUGCUGAUUGGAAAAGUGCCACUCUUUUGUACGAGCAAGCUGCUAAUGGUUUUAGGGUUGCCAAGAAAUAUGAGAAAGCAAAAGCAGCAUUUGAAAUGGCUUCCAAAGGACAAGAGAUACUCUCUUCCCCCUGGGAUGCUGCUAAGCAUAUGGAGUCAGCUGCUGCUCUAGCAAAGGAACUAGGCAAGUGGAAUGAAGUUGCUGAUCUUUAUAGAAGGGCAUCUGAGCUGUAUAUUGAGUGUGGGAGAUCACAACCUGCAUCGGAUGCUCUAGCGAAGGGUGCUCGUGCCUUGGAAGAUGCUGUUCCUGAUGUUGCUGUUCAACUUUAUAUUGAUGCUUCUGAUAUUCUUGAAGAGGAUGGCAAGGAGCAAAUGACCUUUGAUCUAUAUCGUGCUGCUGCUGGUGUUUAUAUAAAGCUUGAGAAGUAUACAGAUGCUGCGGCUGUCUUGUUGAGAUUGGGUCUAGCGGCUGAUAAAUGCAAUGCCACCAAUAGCCAGUGCAAAGCGUAUCUUGGGGCAAUUAUUGUGUAUCUUUAUGCUCAUGAUUUCAAGCAAGCAGAGAAGUGCUACAAUGAUUGUUCACAGAUUGAUGCUUUCUUGAGAAGUGACCAGAACCGCUGUGCUAGUAAACUUCUUUCUGCUUAUACUGAAGGUGAUAUUGAAGAGAUUAAACGUCUUUCUCAGUCUAGCACUAUUUCAAAUCUUGACCAUGUGGGGAAAUCAAAACAAUUCAAAGUUCCCUUUUAGUUAAUGCUGUUAUGGACUUCACAACUUAUUAACUUGUAACCAUUGGUGUCUUGCUUAUGAUGUGUCUGACUUGCCCUAGAUCAGACAGCAUUUAUAGGUUAUUAGGCUUGCAAGAAAACUUCCUACUGGAGAUCUUAGCGCAUUUAAAACUGAUGCUGCUGAAGAAGAAGAGCCAUUGGAUGAGAAUGACCUCACAUAGUUUUCUCAUUCUCUAGAGGAUUGGUAACAGUUAUAUAAUUGGGGUUUUGGUGCGUGUAAAGCAUAUUAUAAUUUCAUUUGGUUUGAUAUUCAGUGUUAUUCCUUGCCUUUUGUUCUCUAAGAGGUGUAAUGUUUCACAAAAUGAUUUUAUUGUAUGCAAUUAGUAUUGUUUCACAAA